rnacentral:rRNA from 1 species
AUGGAAAUACUGCAUGAAUCAAGCAAACGAAAUGCCGCAUUCCAACUAAGUGGGUCACGGCGAACGUACAUUCUCGAGCUCUGCCUCGCAGGCGGCGUCGCAGAGCUUGGGCUUCUCCUCCGGCGGCAGCCCGCCGGCGACGGCGUCGAGCGCGGCCCCCAGAACCACCGCCCCAAACACGCCCCUCCGCGUGACCACGCCGCCGUUGUCGUCGUCAGCUCCUCCGCAUUGCGCCGCGCUUCCGCCAGCGGCAGCCCUGCAGCAGCACGGCGCCCUGGUGUUGCCACCUCUGAUGAACGCCCUGCCGCCGCCGCCGCUGGGAAGCCAGGCCCUCGAGCUAGCGCCACGCGGCCCUGA